GGCAGGCCUAACACAUGCAAGUCGAGCGGUAGCGGGCCUGACCACUCUCGAGUGGUUCAGGCGCCGACGAGCGGCGGACGGGUGCGUAACACGUAGGAAUCUGCCUGGUAGUGGGGGAUAGCCCGGAGAAAUUCGGAUUAAUACCGCAUACGCCCUAAGGGGGAAAGCAGGGGAUCGGUUCGCCGACCUUGCGCUAUCGGAUGAGCCUGCGUCGGAUUAGCUUGUUGGUGGGGUAAAGGCCUACCAAGGCGACGAUCCGUAGCUGGUCUGAGAGGAUGAUCAGCCACACUGGGACUGAGACACGGCCCAGACUCCUACGGGAGGCAGCAGUGGGGAAUAUUGCACAAUGGGCGAAAGCCUGAUGCAGCCAUGCCGCGUGUGUGAAGAAGGCCCUAGGGUUGUAAAGCACUUUCAGUGGGGAGGAAAGGUCGAAGGUUAAUACCCUUGGCUGUGACGUUACCCACAGAAGAAGCACCGGCUAACUCCGUGCCAGCAGCCGCGGUAAUACGGAGGGUGCGAGCGUUAAUCGGAAUUACUGGGCGUAAAGCGUGCGUAGGCGGCCAUUUAAGUUGGAUGUGAAAGCCCCGGGCUCAACCUGGGAACUGCAUCCAAAACUGGGUGGCUUGAGUGCGAGAGAGGAGUGUGGAAUUUCCUGUGUAGCGGUGAAAUGCGUAGAUAUAGGAAGGAACACCAGUGGCGAAGGCGACACUCUGGCUUGACACUGACGCUGAGGUACGAAAGCGUGGGGAGCAAACAGGAUUAGAUACCCUGGUAGUCCACGCCGUAAACGAUGUCUACUAGUUGUCGGUGGUCUUGUACUGCUGGUAACGCAGCUAACGCGAUAAGUAGACCGCCUGGGGAGUACGGCCGCA
rnacentral:rRNA from 1 species